CCUACGGGAGGCUGCAGUGGGGAAUAUUGGGCAAUGGGCGAAAGCCUGACCCAGCAACGCCGCGUGAAGGAAGAAGGUCUUCGGAUCGUAAACCUCUGUCAGCAGGGAAGAACGGUCACUGUGCUAAUCAGCAGUGAAUUGACGGUACCUGCAAAGGAAGCACCGGCUAACUCCGUGCCAGCAGCCGCGGUAAUACGGAGGGUGCGAGCGUUAAUCGGAAUUAUUGGGCGUAAAGCGCUCGUAGGCGGUAUGUCAAGUCAAGGGUGAAAUCCCCGCGCUCAACGUGGGAACUGCCUUUGAAACGGGCAGACUGGAGUGUGUGAGAGGAUAGUGGAAUUCCAGGUGUAGGAGUGAAAUCCGUAGAUAUCUGGAGGAACACCAGUGGCGAAGGCGACUAUCUGGCACAUAACUGACGCUGAGGAGCGAAAGCGUGGGUAGCAAACAGGAUUAGAUACCCCUGUAGUC
rnacentral:rRNA from 1 species